AGUGAACGCUGGCGGUAGGCCUAACACAUGCAAGUCGAACGGCAGCACAGUAAGGGCUUGCUCUUACGGGUGGCGAGUGGCGGACGGGCGAGGAAUACAUCGGAAUCUACUUUUUCGUGGGGGAUAACGUAGGGAAACUUACGCUAAUACCGCAUACGACCUACGGGUGAAAGCAGGGGAUCUUCGGACCUUGCGCGAUUGAAUGAGCCGAUGUCGGAUUAGCUAGUUGGCGGGGUAAAGGCCCACCAAGGCGACGAUCCGUAGCUGGUCUGAGAGGAUGAUCAGCCACACUGGAACUGGGACACGGUCCAGACUCCUACGGGAGGCAGCAGUGGGGGAUAUUGGACAAUGGGCGGAAGCCUGAUCCAGCCAUACCGCGUGGGUGAAGAAGGCCUUCGGGUUGUAAAGCCCUUUUGUUGGGGAAGAAAAGCAGCAGGUUAAUACCCCGCUGUUCUGACGGUACCCAAAGAAUAAGCACCGGCUAACUUCGUG
rnacentral:rRNA from 1 species